rnacentral:rRNA from 1 species
UAUUAAUUGUUUAUUUUAAAUUAAAAAUAAAAACUUAUUAAGUAAAAUUUUAUAUUUUUAUUUUAAUUUAAUUAUUUAUAUAAAGUUAAGAAUUUUAGACUAUUAAACUAGGAUUAGAUACCCUAUUAUUUUAAAUGUAUUUAUAAAUAUUAAAUUAUUAAUAGCUAAGUUCUUUAAAAUUUAAAAUUUUGGCGGUAUUUUAAUCUUUUCAGAGGAACCUGUUUUGUAAAUGAUAGUCCACGAGUUUAUUUACUUUUAAUAUUAAUUUGUAUAUCGUUGUAGUUAAAUAUUUUUUAAAAAUUUAAAUGUUUAUAAUUUUUUAUUAAAAAAUUUUUCAAAUCAAGGUGCAGUUUAUUUAAUAGUAAAAAUGGGUUACAAUAAAUUUAUUUUUGGAUAUUAAUUUUUAAAUUUAAUUUAAUUUGGAUUUGAAAGUAAUUUUAAUUAAAUAAUUAAUUUGAUUUAAGCUCUAAAAUAUGUACAUAUCGCCCGUCGCUUUCAUUAUUUGAAAUAAGUCGUAACAAAGUAGAUUUACUGGAAAGUAAAUCUAGAUU